rnacentral:sRNA from 21 species
GUCAACUACCUCGGGCUAAAGCCCGGAGGCUUGCACAGCUCGGUUGACCAGCCUCAGUCCGCCUUGGGAGCCGAUUGGUUCACCGACUCCCUAAAAGGGACUACGUUGCGUACAGGUCGUCAAGACCCACCCCGGGGUGCUUCCUCAGGUCCGGGCUCUGGA